rnacentral:misc_RNA from 1 species
CUACACGAUCAAAUUCUCGUUCAUCUACUCCCACACGUCGGAAUCCAUUACUGUCAUCUGCCUCAGGUCCUUCAACUUCAGUUGGGCGUGUUCUUUCAAAUGGGCGCACAUCUACACCAACAUCUCGACCAAGUUCCCCAGGGCCCCGAAUCCGGCCUCCACAACAGCCAGUUGUUCCUCCUGAUUUUCCCCUUGACACACCUCCAAACCUUAGAACAACUUUGCCAGAUAGACCACUCUCUGCUGGUAGGUCCCGGCCUGGUGCAGCAGUCACUACGAAACGGAACCCAGAAACUACAGGCCCAACAAAUGUGCCAAGACGACAUUCAUCUCCAAUUGUCUCAAGGGGAAGACUCUCAGAAGCCCCUGUAAAGGGUCGUGUUCAUUCCAAUGGGCAUGUAGUUGAUAUGUCUGAGCCUCGAAAAGUUUCACAUGUUUUGGAUUUGGGAAUGCGGAAAUCUGUUAAGUCAUCAUCAACUGCCACAGAGAGUACUGGGUUUGGGAGGACAAUAUCAAAGAAGUCUUUGGAUAUGGCUAUCAGGCACAUGUUAAUUCAAAUAUUUUAGCUGGAAACUUUAAGGGUGUGACGGGGGUUGAAUGAGCUCAGUUUUUCACGAGUGAGAGCUUGAACAUUUGGUGGCGUCAUGUAUAGAUCGUAAUGGAGCAUAAUGCAAUGAAUAAUUAAUAUUAUACCCCAUUAUGUUCUGUCAAACAUGCAAUGACAGAGCUUUAUCAUGUCAGGACAUAAGAAAUGGCACAGGAAGCACUCGUGUACUUUCAGGCACGACUCUUUUCCCUCAGAGCAUUCGAUCUGCUUCCAAAGCCCAAUCUGUUCGCUCUAUGAAUGCUUCAGAAUCCAUUAACAAUGGAGAUAUUUUGGAGAAUGGAAAACAUAUGAGCAGGCCUGCAGAAAUUGGAAGUGAAGCUAUGCAUGGAAGAUACUCUGCAAAAUUGAGUGAAGUUGACAUUUAUGAAAGCUCCCGGUAUGAUGCGAUAUUACUUAAAGAGGAUUUAAAGAACACCAACUGGCUGCAUAGUAUUGAUGAUAAAUCUGAUCAAGGGUCAAUCUUUGAUAAUGGAUUCGAGUCCCUGCCUGAACCAUUUGGCCCAUUAUAGCAUCAGAUGAGUGUUUUUUUCCCCCUCAAGAUAUUUAAUUUUUUUAUAAUUUUUUUUUAUUCUCUUAAAAUAUGUGCUUACUUGGAAAAAAGAAAUGAAAUAUGUGCUUACAUUACUUGUGCAGCACUUGAAUGAAUUAAAUGGUUUCACUGUUGGGCUUUUUUCUGUAUGCUCUAUAUGUGAAGAUUUGGAAGGGAAGAUUAAAGCAUUUUAAUUUUUAUAUAUGAAGCAUCAGCAGUUACUGAUUGUCCAGGCUGCUGGAGCCCUUUUCAC